rnacentral:lncRNA from 1 species
UACAAUGAACACGAAAGUCAUUAUUAUUUUUAGCCUUGGCGCUAUAUGUUUGUUAGCAGAGGUUACAUGAUUCUUCUUUCGGAAUAGGCGGAAAAAUGAGAGCCUUCACUGUUGUUUAUUUAGUAGAGGUUGAGAUCGUAUUUCAAAUUAUUAAGAACACUAUUGUUUUAGAUUCUUUCACAUAUUCAUACGUUUGAAAAAAAACCGCAUUCUCCAUGAUGUUUUGGUCAUAGAGAAUGUAAUAAAAGUCCAUUAAAUAGCAUUGAUACUCCCAUACUAUAGUAUUUUCCUUUGUGUUGAGGAUUAAUGCAACCACAGUGUUGUGGUUUGAACACUAAUCGAGAAGGCCUCUUUACUGUUGUCUAGGUCAGUUAUAACUUUCAUAUAUGUGCUUCCAUACACUUUAAUGUUAGUAGUACAAUUGCUGUUAGCAGAUUAAAAACUUAGUUAAACAUAUGCGUACUCACAUAUUUAUUAUUUCUCUUUACAUCAAGGAUUCCCAUGGACAUGUGGUUGUCCAUUACACAGAUGUUGAUACAAAUGUUCAGCUCCUUUUUAGGUACCGUUGCUCAUGUUGCAGCCCGAGGUUGUAGCUACACAGGAACACAAAUUCAGAAAGAUAAAAGUACAAGCGUGAAGCACGAGCCAGUACAAGUCAGCGUGAACAGUACGGGGGUACUGUUUCAUCUAUUUAUAGGCACAGGACAGAGCAUGUGAGGAAUUACAGUUAUGCCCUUUACAUUUACUAUUGACUUAUAGAAAAUCUAUGAGGACUAGAUAGCCUUUUCCUCUUUAA